ACAGACUGUCAGGCUUGUGUAUAUAUGCUAUGAGAUCUGGGAGUUCAUUUUAAAAGCAGUUUGGCAUUGUUGGAAAAAAAGCUGGGAGUUGAAGUGUGAAGAACAACCUAGGCACUCUUUGACUUUGAUUGCCAGAACUCUUGUCGCAAUGUUCAACAAUGACAACUAAAGACUCCAAGGGGUAAAAGCGAAGCCAUAAACCAUUCCCAGGAAAUCCCGCCAGGUUCCGACACCUUUGAUGAUGUCACUUCCAGUUCUGGUGCUUUUGAUCACAUCACUUCCGGUCCCAGCGCAUCUGAUCAUGUCACUUCCAGUCUCGAAGACGGCACUUCCAGUUCCAGCAUUGACAUCAUUUCCUCUGCUAGCCCUUAAAGCCUCCAUUUUACCUCCGCAUAUUCAGUUCUGUUUUAGACUCGGCCUUGUAAACAAGUCACUCUUUGCAAACCUUUUGCAGCCAGGAUCAAACCUUUGUGAUUGUCUGGGGUCUUUUGUGACAAUACGAAGAAUCUGGGAAGAUUUUCAAAUGUGAGAUGCUGCCGCUACCACCCGAUCAUCAGUGUAGUCAUUCUGAGUACAUGUUGUAGCACCCAGCAGAAUGGGGCGGGGCCUGGCUGUUUGGGGCGGGGCCAUGCAUUGAUGAUGUGCAAUCUCUCUUCCAGUUAUUUGCACACCUGAUGCUGCCAUGUUCAGUCACAGUCCUCACAUUAACCUACUGAGCAGAGUGAAGCCAGGUGUACUUGUGCAUUCACAUACUUUGGUUCGUUCAUUCUGGCACAUGUGUUGCUCGCAUUUUAGGGGACCUGAAGUUUGAACUGUUAUGGUGGCCCCUAUGCAACCAGCAAUGAGGUCUGGGUAACCACAGUUUUCCUCAAUGUGGUUGUUCCACGACAGAUCACAACACCUUUUUGUUUUUUUUAAUUUAACCAUGAGCGACUAGGCUGAUUCCAGGGCUACAGGGGUUGAAUUAUGAGGAAAAAUUAAAAGAGCUGAGCCUUUACAGUUUAAACAAAAGAAGAUUAAGAGGUGACAUGAUUGAAGUGUUUAAAAUUAUGAAGUGAUUUAGUAUAGUGGAUCAAGACUGUUAUUUUAAAAUGAGUUCAUCAAGAACACGGGGACACAGUUGGAAACUUGUUAAGGGUAAAUUUCACACAAACAUUAGAAAGUUUUUCUUUACACAAAGAACGAUAGACACUUGGAAUAAGCUACCAAGUAGUGUGGUAGACAGUAAGAUGUUGGGGACCCCCACUCCAGAUAGGCUGGGCAUGCAAUGGGUGUCAAAAAAGGGGGUAAAAUCAAUACACAAAACAUUAGCAACAUCCUAUACAACAAGGGCUCACCAAAAUUGACCAUUGCUUUGCAAAGAUAGGCAUUUUGUAAUAGUGACAGCCUUUAAGGUAUAAUCUAUGCCAAUUUGAAAUGAUCCUUCAUUCAUCUGUAACCCUCACACAUACUGGGCCAUCAUUUUAACAGAAUGGCUUUUCCAGCACCACUAUAGAAUUUAAUUUCAGUUCACUUUGUACACAUGACAAUUAUAAGCCUAAUAAUCUGUAAUGCAUUAAGUUAUGGUAAAAACUAAACAGAACGCUGAAUAACAGAAAAUUCUGUUAUUGAUAACCUUUCCUCUGUAAAUUUCCAACUCAAAAUGUUGAUAUGUAUUACUAUGAUUGAGAAUUUAAAAACCUGACAUGCCCCCAUUAAAAUGAUGAAUUUGACUAAUAAACUGUAAUACUUUGCCAUCUAAGACUAAGGUUUCAUUUUAAAAAAGCAAAGCUGUGGUUUCUGUCUUUAAUACAAUUGCAGUUGAUAUUUCCUAUUUACCACAUUUCAACCGAUGAGACUCUUCUGCAUUGUGAGAGUUGAAAUUGUCCUUUUCCACAGCAGUUACUCAUUUCCUUUUAUUUGUAUAGCUGUUGGCCUAGAGUAAAAAAAAAAUUGUAUUAAUCAUAAAAAUGGAGCCUAAUUAUACAAGAGCUUAGUGUAUUAGCAUAAAUUACGUGGGCGGAUUGUAGAUAGCAUUAUCACUGGGAUAUGUUCUCAUAACUAAAUAUCAAAUUGCUGUCAAUUUCAUGGUCUUAAUUGCUCACACUACCAAUGUACAAUGUCAUAAGCAUCAAAUGGAUAUACAUAAUAAAUUACAUUUCCAGCAUUUGUGAAAGUUUGUUUUGUUAACUUUGUAAUGUGAAGAUAAUAAUGACAACUUUUUUUCAUCAAUUGUUAAUAUUAUAUUUCAGAAAACAGUUUAUUUAUAAUGUGCAGUACCAUGAAAAAGUAUUUGCCCCCUUCUUGGUUUGAUCUAUUAUUACAUAUAUUUAAUACUGAACGUUUAUUUGUCUUCAACCCAAAAUC